rnacentral:rRNA from 1 species
AUACGUAUGUCGCAAGCGUUAUCCGGAUUUAUUGGGCGUAAAGCACGUCUAGGCGGCUUAGUAAGUCUGAUGUGAAAAUGCGGGGCUCAACCCCGUAUAGCGUUGGAAACUGCUAAACCAGAGUACUGGAGAGGUAGGCGGAACUACAAGUGUAGAGGGGAAAUUCGUAGAUAUUUGUAGGAAUGCCGAUGGGGAAGCCAGCCUACUGGACAGAUACUGACGCUAAAGCGCGAAAGCGUGGGUAGCAAACAGGAUUAGAUACCCUGGUAGUCCACGCCGUAAACGAUGAUUACUAGGUGUUGGGGGUCGAACCUCAGCGCCCAAGCUAACGCGAUAAGUAAUCCGCCUGGGGAGUACGUACGCAAGUAUGAAACUCAAAUGAAUUGACGGGG